rnacentral:rRNA from 1 species
ACCUACGGGGGGCAGCAGUGAGGAAUAUUGGUCAAUGGGCGGGAGCCUGAACCAGCCAAGCCGCGUGAGGGAAGACGGUCCUAUGGAUUGUAAACCUCUUCAGGCGGGGGGCAAGGCCGGGCACGCGUGCCCGGAGGGAGAGUACCCGCAGAAUAAGCAUCGGCUAACUCCGUGCCAGCAGCCGCGGUAAUACGGAGGAUGCGAGCGUUAUCCGGAUUUAUUGGGUUUAAAGGGGGCGUAGGCGGAUUUUUAAGUCAGAGGUAAAAUGUCCGGGCUCAACCCGGGCCGGCCGUUGAAACUGGGGG